rnacentral:rRNA from 1 species
AUUGAACGCUGGCGGCAGGCCUAACACAUGCAAGUCGAGCGGAUGACGGGAGCUUGCUCCUGGAUUCAGCGGCGGACGGGUGAGUAAUGCCUAGGAAUCUGCCUGGUAGUGGGGGACAACGUUUCGAAAGGAACGCUAAUACCGCAUACGUCCUACGGGAGAAAGCAGGGGACCUUCGGGCCUUGCGCUAUCAGAUGAGCCUAGGUCGGAUUAGCUUGUUGGUGAGGUAAUGGCUCACCAAGGCGACGAUCCGUAACUGGUCUGAGAGGAUGAUCAGUCACACUGGAACUGAGACACGGUCCAGACUCCUACGGGAGGCAGCAGUGGGGAAUAUUGGACAAUGGGCGAAAGCCUGAUCCAGCCAUGCCGCGUGUGUGAAGAAGGUCUUCGGAUUGUAAAGCACUUUAAGUUGGGAGGAAGGGUUGUAGAUUAAUACUCUGCAAUUUUGACGUUACCGACAGAAUAAGCACCGGCUAACUCUGUGCCAGCCGCCGCAGAAAAAC